rnacentral:rRNA from 1 species
GACGAACGCUGGCGGCGUGCUUAACACAUGCAAGUCGAACGGAAAGGCCCUGCUUUUGUGGGGUGCUCGAGUGGCGAACGGGUGAGUAGCACGUGAGUAACCUGCCCUUGACUUUGGGAUAACUUCAGGAAACUGGGGCUAAUACCGGAUAGGAGCUCCUGCUGCAUGGUGGGGGUUGGAAAGUUUCGGCGGUUGGGGAUGGACUCGCGGCUUAUCAGCUUGUUGGUGGGGUAGUGGCUUACCAAGGCUUUGACGGGUAGCCGGCCUGAGAGGGUGACCGGCCACAUUGGGACUGAGAUACGGCCCAGACCCCUACGGGAGGCAGCAGUGGGGAAUAUUGCACAAUGGGCGGAAGCCUGAUGCAGCAACGCCGCGUGCGGGAUGACGGCCUUCGGGUUGUAAACCGCUUUCGCCUGUGACGAAGCGUGAGUGACGGUAAUGGGUAAAGAAGCACCGGCUAACUACGUG